rnacentral:tRNA from 1 species
GCCUAGUUAGCUUAGUUGGUAGUGCGUCUGCCUUGUAAGCGCUAGGCCGCGGGUUCCAUUCCCGCCCGGGGCA